AUAGGUGGGAGGCUUUGAAACCAGGACGCCAGUUUUGGCGGAGCCAUCCUUGGGAUACCACCCUUGUAGUACUGGGACUCUAACCAUAGGCCAUGAAUCUGGUCUUGGGACACUGUCAGGUGGGCAGUUUGACUGGGGCGGUCGCCUCCCAAAAGGUAACGGAGGCGCGCAAAGGUUCUCUCAGUACGGUCGGAAAUCGUACGUAGAGUGUAAAGGCAAAAGAGAGCUUGAUUGCAAGACAUACAGGUCGAGCAAGGAUGAAAAGCGGACUUAGUGAUCCGGUGGUUCUGCGUGGAAGGGCCAUCGCUCAACGGAUAAAAGCUACCCUGGGGAUAACAGGCUUAUCUCCCCCAAGAGUCCACAUCGACGGGGAGGUUUGGCACCUCGAUGUCGGCUCAUCACAUCCUGGGGCUGUAGUAGGUCCCAAGGGUUGGGCUGUUCGCCCAUUAAAGUGGUACGCGAGCUGGGUUCAGAACGUCGUGAGACAGUUCGGUCCCUAUCCGUCGCAGGCGUAGGAAAUUUGAGAAGAC
rnacentral:rRNA from 1 species